CGAAUGAAGACGCAAAUACAUUGCACGUUUAGAAGUUGAACAGUUGAUAUUACAAACUAAAGAAGCCUUGCCACAAAUGUAUAGAAGGCAUGGAAGAAGAGACACAGAAGAAGGCAGAGUUAUCUGAAGGACUACAGCUCUUUCUAUUCACCUGGGAGAUAUCAACAAUUUACUGGGGAGGGCCUUCUUUCAGUCCCACCACGCACUCAAGCAUGCUUGGUAUGGAGAGGACAUUUUCAGUGGCUGCUCCCAGGCUGUGGGACUCCUUCCCAAGAGAGACCAGGAUGGCGCCAUCCCUGCUGGCCUUCUACAAGCAAGUCAAGACCUUAUUCUGCCCACAGGCUUUUGGGGAAGGGUAAAGGCCAGGCUCCGGGGAGGGUGAGUGGGAUCUGAAUUUUAAAGGCCAUUUUAGUGUAUUUACUAGGCUUGCUCAAAUAAUUCGUUUUCCCCGUUAACCGUUAUUAAUUCGUUAUUUUCGUUUGUUUUGAAGCAAUUUUGAAGCAUUGGUUGUCCACACGUCUGGAUAUCGCGGUUUCGAAUCGCGAGAGGCCGUUUUUCGUUAUGUCGU
rnacentral:lncRNA from 11 species